rnacentral:rRNA from 1 species
AUACGGAGAGGGCAAGCGUUGUUCGGAUUUACUGGGCGUAAAGGGCAUGUAGGUGUUCUGAUAAGCUCUGAGUGAAAGCUCCGCGCUCAACGCGGAAAAGUCUUGGAGAACUAUCGGAAUUGAGUUCAGAAGAAGAGAGUGGAAUUCUCGGUGUAGCGGUGAAAUGCGUAGAUAUCGAGAAGAACACCAGCGGCGAAGGCGGCUCUCUAUUCUGAAACUGACACUCAAAUGCGAAAGCGUGGGGAGCGAACAGGAUUAGAUACCCUGGUAGUCCACGCUGUAAACGAUGUGCACUUGGUGUAUUCCUUAUAAAGGGGUGUGCCGGAGCUAACGCGUUAAGUGCACCGCCUGGGGAGUACGGCCGCAAGGCUAAA